rnacentral:rRNA from 1 species
GUGGGGAAUAUUGGACAAUGGGCGCAAGCCUGAUCCAGCAAUGCCGCGUGAGUGAGGAAGGCCUUAGGGUUGUAAAGCUCUUUCACCCACGACGAUGAUGACGGUAGUGGGAGAAGAAGCCCCGGCUAACUUCGUGCCAGCAGCCGCGGUAAUACGAAGGGGGCGAGCGUUGUUCGGAUUUACUGGGCGUAAAGGGCGCGCAGGCGGCAGAUCAAGUCAGAUGUGAAAGCCCCGGGCUUAACCUGGGAACUGCAUUUGGGACUGGUUUGCUAGAGAUCGGGAGAGGAGAGUGGAAUUCCCAGUGUAGAGGUGAAAUUCGUAGAUAUUGGGAAGAACACCGGUGGCGAAGGCGGCUCUCUGGACCGAUACUGACGCUGAGGCGCGAAAGCGUGGGGAGCAAACAGGAUUAGAUACCCUUGUAGUCC